rnacentral:piRNA from 1 species
UGAGAAGGGCAUGGACCUGGGGAUG